GGAUGUGAGGGUGAUCUGGCUGCGACAUCUGUCACCCCAUGAUCGCCAGGGUUGAUUUGGCUGAUCUGGCUGGCUAGGCGGAUGUCCCCUUCCUCCCUCACCGCUCCAUGUGCGUCCCUCCCGAAGCUGCGUGCUCGGUCGAAGAGGACGACCAUCCCAAAUAAAGGAGGACAGGUCUUCAGUCAAGGGUAUACCUGUAGCUGCGCUACCCUGCUAGAACCUCCAAACAAGCUCUCAAGAAUGGAGAAAAUAAGAUAUGGAGUGGGCAGAAAACUAUAAAUCUGCUUCAAGGCCUGUAUAUAUGUUUUUCUAA
rnacentral:snRNA from 1 species